UUUUUUGGUAACUGAUGGAUAAUUUAUAUGUUUUUGAUUUGUGUUUUUUGCAGAGGCAGUUAAGUCUAGUAGAAUAUCAGACUGGGAAUACUAGACUGCCCCACUGCCAUUCACUCCAUUUAUCUGUAUCCCUUUCUGAGCUAAUACUGAGAAAUGAUUUGGAAGGAGCCUGGGACUGAAAGCUGUGGUGACUAGUAUGGAUUCUUCAAUGACUUAACUCUUCAUGGCAACUUACUGGAAUAGCAGAGGCAACUUAAAGUGGCAGGCUGAGAAAGUGUGUGUGUCUUUGUUUGUGUGCGCGUAUGUAUAUUUAAUACUACGUACAGCUAGACAUAUAUAUCUACAUAAGGAUAUAUACAUACACACACAUUUACAGUAAUAUAUGCACUCACUUUGGCCCCC
rnacentral:lncRNA from 1 species